rnacentral:lncRNA from 1 species
UUUUUUUUUUUUUUUUNUUUUUUUUUUUUUGUCCUUUUGCCUUUUUCUAGGACUGCUCCUACGGCAUAUGGAGGUUCCCAGGCUAGGGGUCUAAUCGGAGCUACAGCUGCUGGCCUACGCCAGAGCCACAACAAUGCCAGAUCUGAGCCACGUCUGCCACCUACUCCACAGCACACGGCAACGCUGGAUCCUUAACCACAGAACGAGGCCAGGAAUCAAACCUGCAACUUCAUGGUUCCUAGUUGGAUUUGUUUCCACUGUGCCACGACACAGUAGAUNACUGUGCCACGACAGGAACUCCUGAUUUCAGUCUUACUUGUAGAUUCUCUCUUUUUCUGGCUUUAAUGAAGCAAGCUGCUAUGUAGGAGAGUCUCGAAUGGCAAGGAAUUGAGGUCAGCCUCCAAGUAAUAGUCAGGAAGGUACUGAGAAUGUGAGUCCAAAAACCCAUGAGGAAUUGAAUUCUGCAACUAUAUAAAUGAAUUUGGAAGCAGAUCCUGCCCCAGUUGAAUCUUUAUUACAGCUUUGUGAGGUAUUGUAAAGCCGAGGGCCGAGUUAAGCCACACUCAGAUUCCUGACCUAUAGGAACUGUGAGAUAAUAAACAUGUGUUGUUUUAAGCCAGUAAAUUUGAGGAUAAUUUAUAAUGCAACAAUAGAUAACUAACAUGCUUGCAUUAAAGAAAUGGUGACACUUAGAUAAAUACUAACUUAGGGUCUCAAUUAAUAAUCAUCAUAUUUUCAGUGGUGGAGAAAUCUUGUCAUUAAUAUAAAUGAUUCCUUUCUGCUCUGCCAUUGGGAGAGACUGAAGAAGCAGUUAGAUUAUGAUGUAAUUUAGCAGAACCUUUGGAAAAAAAAAUGCUGCUUCACAUACCUCAAUUAUCUCAGCUAGAGAAAUGAAUAAGAAUGAAAAUAUAAAAUUUAAAAUCAAGUUAGAGUCAAAGAGAACUAAAAUAUAUUGUGUAUUUACUCUAUGCCAGGCACCAGGAUUAAUGUUUUACACAUUCCUGAUUUAAUGCCUUUGUAACCUGAAUGUUCCCAGGUUAUUCAUUUCAUGGAUCAUUUCUGGGUGGCACGAUCCUCCCUUUGCAUAAUUUCUGAAAAUAUCUGCAGUACAGGCACUUGUACCACAAAGUUAAAUUAAAACAUGUAAUCAAUAGUAAAAUCCAUAAGCUAUGGUCCUGAUUUUAAUUUUGGAGUUUGUUACAGGUGAUGAAAAUUACUGAGCUACUGUGAUGUGAAAAACUUGUUCCCAUGAGUGUCACCGUGCACAGUCUAAUUCUCUCUCUCAAACUUGAAGUGUAUUUGAAUUUGCUCUUGGGUUCAACACACCAGGUCUGCUAGAGCUUCACUUCAGGCAGUUGUGUCUACACCUUCACCUACUCCUUGGGCUAAGUAAAAGCUUUAUCUCUUUGCCAAGUUCAGCCCUUGCUCAAAAUUUGCAUCAAAUAAAGGGCUGGAACAGAAAAUCCUCCCUGAUUCAUUCUAGCUAAAUUUCUAUCUUUAUGUCUCCUCCUGGAAAUCCACAUGCUGUGUAGCCAAUACUGCCUGGCUUCCUUUCUCCAAUUAGCUUUGUAUUGUGGAAUGCAGGCCAAUCCCACCAGGCAGAUGGGCCUCGGCAAAUUGUGUUAUAGUUACUUACACUGUCCCCAUUUUUAGCUCAGUGCACUUGCAGGGAUCAUUUCUGUUGAGUGCUAUUAGCCUUAUAUUGUCAAAAUCUUAGCAUGAUUAAUAUUUACAGGAAGAAACUGAAGUGUACUUUUUUUUAUUAUGAAAUUGAUGUUACCAUGAGGAUUUGAAUAAAUGAGCAUCUUCAUUUGGCUAGAAAGAAGAAGUGACAAAUUAUCUACUGCCCACCAGGAACAGAUCCUGAGCAACUAUCCUUAGAGAAAUGAUUCCUCCAGGCUGAAAAAGAAUGUCUGAAUGUAAUUCAGGCAAGUGUUAAGAGUUUGUUGUUCUUAGCAGAAAAAUGAGGACUGGAAGGGAUUUUUAAGUUGGUCAUUUUAUUCCAUGUAUGAAAGGAAGGCAAUUUAUCUAUUGGGUGGGCUCUAGGCAAGGUAGUUCUGGGUUUCAUUUCUACCUCAAUUGCAUAUGCUUAGUUUCCUUUCCUGAAAUAGGAGAUUAAAGUGUAUAUGCAAGCAUAAGCCAUUUUCGGGAUUACUGUGAGGGUUAAAUAUGACAACUGUAUGAAACAUUUAGCACAUUAUCUGCUGCACACAAAAUGGUUAAAAAUGGUAUGACUCCCCCCUCCCAAACUCCCAAAGCAAGUCUUCUCUGUAAAGUUGCACCCUCUGUACACUGAAGAUGCCAGUGAAAUAUCCAAUUAACUGUAGUCAUUUGACGUGACUCUGGAAAUAAAUUGUUUCUAAAACAACUAGCAAAUAGUUGAUGAGAGUCAGGUGUGAUAGUAUACAAAUGAAGCAAUAAAGAGUGGAGCAAUGAACUCAUGUUUACUCCUUUCCAUCUAAAACCUGAGUCCUGCUCUUUUAAAAAUAUAUAGCUGUCCCAGAGAGGUGUAAGAGUCAAGGAUUGUAUACAUAUGUAUAUGUGUAACUGAUGUUCUUUGCUGUAUGCCUGAAACUAACAAAACUGUGUAAGUCAACUUUAUUCCAAUAAAUUUUUUUUAAAAAAAGAAUCAGGUAUUUCUCAUUAGCUGCACUUUAUUUAGAAGGAGACCUUGAUGUCAUCUUAAAAGACUGAGGGAAAGUUAUUUUGAAUUUAGAAUUUUGGAUCCAGGCUAAAAAAGCAAUCAAAAGUUAUCAAAUAUUUUCCAAGGAAAAAAGCACAGAAUAUUCAUCUUUCUUACAGUCUUUCCUGGGAAAUUACUUGAAAUUUUGAUAAAAGGCUCCUGAACAAAGAUAGUGGAAGGGAUACGAGGACAGAGAGUUGGAAGUGAAAGAAAGACAAGUCUAGAGACUGGAUACUGUUUUUUAAAAUUUGAAAAAUCUUAGGGAUAUUGUAAGAACAAUGUUAGCAAAAGUCCUAUUACUCAUUUCAUCUCCAUUGGGCCAAGCAAAAACGAGUGCCCAAGACAUUUUCUUGUAAACCUGCUGAUGGGCUUGAGCUGGAUACUUGGACAGAUGUAAAUGGCAUUACUAAUGGCAAGAUACCUGGAAGUCUCUUUCCUAUAAAAUUUUUCUAAGUGGAUGUACCUUGUUUGACCAGAGUGCUUAUUGUAGGUAUAUCUGGAAUUAUAAAUUUAAGGGGCAUAGCAUAAAUUUAUCAAUUAUCUUAAAUAAUUGAUAGAGCAUAAAAGAGAGGCUAUUGAAAUGGAUAUGGAUUUUUUACAAACAAAAAAAAGCCACAUAUUUCUGUCUAUAUUGUUCAAGUUUUAUCCACGAGUAUAAUAAACAUAUAAACAUAUCCUUAUAUAGGAGAAAGGGAUAUUUUUCAAAGCUUGCAUAUGAUGGUUUAGGACUCUUAUGGGAAAAUAAUGCUCUAGCCCUCUUUUCAUUCUCAAAGCUUGGUGUUGGAUAAGAUCUAUGAUUCACACAAGUUCUUUUUGUCAGUUCAACCCUUCACAUUAACACAGUAUUAAAUACACCAGGUAAAAAGGUAAUUUAAAACUCCAGAAAAAGCAAUGGAUGUAUAAGAAAGGUUUAUACAAUAAGAAUACAUUAUUUAAAUGCAUAAUAAAUCUUAUGUGCAUGCUCAUAACAAAGCAAAUAAUUUACUGGCUUUCAACAUUCAGAAUAAACAUAUAGGCAAAGCACAGAGCACAUAAUUAUGAAAUGUAAUGGACAUUCCAUAAAUUUUGGCAAUAAAAAUUAUAAAUAAAGGGAGUUCAGAGGUAGAAGAGGAAUAGAAUUAAAGGAAAUGACUGGCAAUUUGCUCAUCUUAUGAAGUGUACAGUCUGAUUGUACACCAAAGUCUCUCAUGAAUCUUUUUGUGUGUGUGUGUGCUUUUUUUAGGGCGGCACCAUGGCAUAUGGAAGUUCCCAGGCUAGAGGCUGAAUCAGAGCUAGAGUUGCCAGCCUACACCACAGCCACAGCAAGGAGCCACAGCUCAUACAUCACUGGAUCCCUGACCCACUGAGCUAGGCCAGGGCUUCAAUCCACACCCUCAUGGAUAAUCCAAUAGUUGAAUUUGUUUCCACUGCACCACAACAGGAACUCCCUCUCAUGAAUCUUAUGGCACUAAAAUAUACCCAAGUAAAUGAUUAAUUUUAGAAACAAUGAGUAAAGAGAGUGUCUGAACUUGGUGAAUUCUAAACAAAUGGGCUACUGACCAAAAUGAAAAAAGUAAGCCCCCCAAAAUAAGCACUUUUCAAGUCUCUGCUUGUAUUAUAUUUGCUAACAUUUCAUUGGCCAGAGUAAGUUACAUGAACCCAAAGUCAAGUAGUAGUGAAGAAUAUUUUACAUGGAGGUGGAAGGCACUGAAAGGUCAUAGGGCAAAGCUGUGCAUAAGGGGAAGGGGAAGAAUUCAGGCCAAUGAAGGAAUCUAUUACAUCUUUUUAUUUUUUAAUUCAAUGAAUUUUAUUAUAUUUAUAGUUGUAUAACCACCAUUAUGUAUUACAUAUCUUAAAACUGGGACUGUUACUUGAAUAUAAGGGAUACAAAUACAUAAUUUGUUAUUGAACUUUCUUAUAACAGACUAUCCUUCUGUAGGUUAAAGAUUUCCUCUUGUCAAUACUAUCCUUCUGGAUAUAAUAUACGCUAAACAAAAAAUAAAAAAAAAAUACGCUAAACAGGCAAAUUGGAAAAUGAAGGAACAUUAAACAGGAUAAAAUAGGAAGACAUAUUUCCUUUCUAAUUUACUAAUAAACAGGGAGAAAAAGCUUACAUUUGGGACAUGCAAGUCAGCAUUUGGCUUAUGCUGAUUUGGCAGUAAUCAUAUAAUCUGUAUUUAUGUUAAAAAAACUAAAAUAGUCUUAUUUAAAUGGAUUGUUCUUAUUUCAAGAAGGGAAAAGAGGUCACUGAGUCAAAUCCGUUUUGUAAAACAAAUCCUAUAAGUAAAACACAAACUAUGCAUCUCUAAAAGCUUCUGAAAUAGGACUGUUGGGAUUUGUUUAUGGUGGGGUGGGAGGUAGGUGAACAAUUCAGGUGCUAUGGAGAAGGUAGGUGGAUAGGAAUGGUUGAAAUUGAGGAUAUAAAUAAAGUCAUUAAGUGUAAAAAGAGACAAUAAACCCCUCAUCUAUUAAAGUAGAAAAUGGUACAUACAUAACAAUGAAAAAAUUGGAAAACAACAGAAAUCCAUCUUGGCAGAUUGAUUGCCCAAGUCAAUCAAAGAUUGGAUAACAUAUGGAAAGAAUAUAGAUUGGGGAGUUCCUGUCGUGGCUCAGUGGUUAAUGAACCUGACUAGCAUCCAUGAGGACUUGGGUUCAAUCCCUGGCCUUGCUCAGUGGAUUAAGGAUCUGGUGUUGCCGUGAGCUGUGAUGGAGGGCGCAGAUGUGGCUCGGAUCCCACAUUGAUGUGGCUGUGGUGUAGGCUGGCGGCUGCAGCUCCGAGUAGAUGCCUAGCCUGGAAACCUCCAUGUGCCAGGGGUGCGGCCCUAAAAAGACAAAAAGGCAGAAAAAAACAUAGUUUGGGUGUAGAAUUACUCCUGGAAGAAAGUACCUUUUAUUAUAAAAUAACGCAAAAAUUGCUCAGUUAUGGGGGGGGAAUAACCAAGGAACAAAAUAACCUAGUUUAUAUUAGAUAAUAUGCAUUCAGAAUGAGACAAGACUGUUAGCAUUAGACAGUUUGAUCCAAUAUUCAAAAUAACCAGAUACAAUCUGGUUUGCUAAUUACAUUAAAAUAAAAUUUUAAAAUUGUUCAUUUAAACGUGUUAAAAAGAAAGAUUUACAGUCUUCUAAAUAUAACUCCUAGUGUGUCUGGAUCUGGAAACACAAUGCAUUGAGGUUUUAUCACAAAGUAGCUGGGCACAUGGUGGAAGAAUGAUGACUGAACCUAGGUUUUGUCACAAGUGAUCUAAAUUAUGGUCUAAGACUGAGAUUUAAAUUGAUUUGGUUUAAAUCCACCCUAGAUCCUGCUGCUUAUGCCUGCAACCUUACAUAACGGUUCUUGUAUAAUAGGUAGAAAUAUCAAGCAUUAGCAGACGUAACCAGGAAACAGAGUGCAAUAAAUCAACCCCCACACAGAGAAACAGAGCAUAUUUUCUCAGUGACUGUGAAAAUGGAUGUGUUAGUUGGAAAUACAAUAAAAUAACAGUAUGAAUAUUUGAUAUAUAUAAUGCCUUCAACUUAAUCUCAGGAAACAAUUGACUCAGCAUAUUCUCACAAAAACUCAGCAUGAUUUGCAGGAUGAGAACCUGCACAUUGUCUACUGUAAUUUAACAUUACUUCCAAAAUUUAUAUUGAACAAUUAAAUUAAAUUAAANUCUUGAAUACUCAGGUGAAUAAAUGAAGGUUCUGACCUCGUAGAACAGAAGAAACACAUGCGAAGAUAAUUACUGGUAUAAAGACAGGAGUAUGUCCUGGAUGUGAGGGAAACAAAAAGGAGUGGCAGGUAGCCUGACCUCAGAUAGCCACAGGAAGCUUUCUAGAGAAGCUGAUCACUGAAUUGAGUCUUUCAGGAUAUAAAAAUUUUAGACAGCCAAAGGAUCAGGGAACUGUGUGUGUGGCAGAGGGAAGAUGAUGAGCACAGGCACAAAGAUAAGGAGCACCUUAAGGUGGGGAAGCAAUUAUUUAUUAUUAGAGAAAUGUGUGGGUGCCAGCAGAUAAGAUGGUGAAGAUAAUAUACAGACCUAUAGUCCAUACUAAGGCUUUUCCUUUCAAAUGGGAUCAAAACAUUCUUUUAAUUGAAAUAUAAUUGCUGUACAAUAUUAUGUCACUUUCAGGUGUAUGAGAUAGUGAUUUGACAUUUAAGUACAUU